rnacentral:rRNA from 1 species
GAUGAACGCUGGCGGCGUGCCUAAUACGUGCAAGUCGAGCGAAUGGAUUAAGAGCUUGCUCUUAUGAAGUUAGCGGCGGACGGGUGAGUAACACGUGGGUAACCUGCCCAUAAGACUGGGAUAACUCCGGGAAACCGGGGCUAAUACCGGAUAAUAUUUUGAACCGCAUGGUUCGAAAUUGAAAGGCGGCUUCGGCUGUCACUUAUGGAUGGACCCGCGUCGCAUUAGCUAGUUGGUGAGGUAACGGCUCACCAAGGCAACGAUGCGUAGCCGACCUGAGAGGGUGAUCGGCCACACUGGGACUGAGACACGGCCCAGACUCCUACGGGAGGCAGCAGUAGGGAAUCUUCCGCAAUGGACGAAAGUCUGACGGAGCAACGCCGCGUGAGUGAUGAAGGCUUUCGGGUCGUAAAACUCUGUUGCUAGGGAAGAACAAGUGCUAGUUGAAUAAGCUGGCACCUUGACGGUACCUAACCAGAAAGCCACGGCUAACUACGUGCCAGCCGCCGCAGUAA